CUUAAUGUCUUAUUUUUUUUGUAGUUUAUUUUUCUUGAAAGAAAAAUCAUUUUUUUUAUUAACGGUUUUGAAUAAAUGUUUUUAAUUAUAGUAUAUUAGUAUUGAAUGAGAAUGAUUGUAGGUUUUUUUAAGAAGAAUUGAGUUUUCGUACCUUUUGUAUCAGGGUUUAUUUAUUAAUAAUUAUAGUUUAAUUUUCUCGAAUUUAAAAGAUUUAUGAGUUUAUGUUUUUAUUGUAGAAUAAAUAUUAUUAAUAGAUUUAUGGAAGUGAAAUGCUUUUCGAUUUUAAAUAUAUCUAGUUUUUGAGGAAAAAAGUUUAAUUUUGCUCUUGUUUUGGAAGUUUAGCUUAAUAGUUAGGUUCUUCUGGGCUGGAAUUUAGGGCUGCAGGGAUGAGCUUGUAGUUUGUGGGCAUAUAUUAUGGGAGUUUAUUUACAGUAGGAUUAAAAGUUUCUUUCUUUGAUAGUUUUGUAACUUUGUAAUUAUUUUAAAAGAUUUUUUUUUUAUUGCGUUUUUUACUUAAAAUAUUAAUUUAAUUUUGGCUUUGUUGUUAUAGUGAUGGAAUUAGUAUAUUUUUGUAAAUUUUAUUUAAUGGGUUAAAGGUUAGCUUAAGGAACUCGGCAAAUAGAUUUUCCACCUGUUUAUUAAAAACAUGGCUUUUUGAAUAUAAUUUAAGGUCAGGCCUGCCCAAUGAUUAGUUUAAUGGCCGCGGUAUUUUGACCGUGCAAAGGUAGCAUAAUCAUUAGUUUUUUAAUUGGAAGCUGGAAUGAAUGGUCAGAUGAGAAAAUAGCUGUCUCUGGCUGAUUUUUAUAGAAUUUUAUUUUUGGGUUAAAAAGCCUAAAUUUUUAUAAAAGACGAGAAGACCCUAUAGAGUUUUAUAUUUUAUUAUUAAUUUGUUUUUAGUAUUUAUUUUUAAUUUCUAUUUAAGUAUUUGGUUGGGGCGACUGAAAAAUUAAUUUAACUUUUUUGUUUUCUAACAUUUAUUUGUGAAUUUUUGAUCCUUUGUUAAGAUUUUUAGAUUAAAUUACCUUAGGGAUAACAGCGUUAUUUUUCUUGAGAGUUCUUAUCGAAAGAAGAGUUUGCGACCUCGAUGUUGGAUUAAAAUUAAUUUUUGGUGUAGAAGCUGGAAAAUUAAGUCUGUUCGACUUUUGAAAUUUUACAUGAUCUGAGUUUAAACCGGCGUGAGCCAGGUUGGUUUCUAUCUUUAUAUUUUGUAAUAUUCUAGUACGAAAGGACCGAGUAUUAGUUUAAUUAAAUUUUUAUUAGAAU
rnacentral:rRNA from 1 species